UUUAAAACAUAAUUUCUUUUAAAAAAAUUAAACUAAGGAAAUCCGAUUAAGCCGAACUAAAACACAUACCAAGCCGAACACAAACUAAACCAAAUACAAACCGAACCGAAGCCGAUCCAAACCAAACUAAUUAUUGUUUACUUCAGUUGAAAAAAAUCUAAAACAGAAUUAAACAAACGGAACCCAAACCGAAAUGAUAAAAUUUUGCUUCCUCCUAUAUAAAUGAUCUAAUAACAUUUUUGGUGAUGAGUUUUAUAAACUAAACUUGUUUAAGUGUAUACCUCCCCCCUC
rnacentral:lncRNA from 1 species